AGAACGAACGCUGGCGGCAGGCCUAACACAUGCAAGUCGAACGCCGUAGCAAUACGGAGUGGCAGACGGGUGAGUAACGCGUGGGAACAUACCCUUCGGUUCGGAAUAACUCAGGGAAACUUGAGCUAAUACCGGAUACGUCCGAGGUUUUAAUCGACCUUGGAGAAAGAUUUAUCGCCGGAGGAUUGGCCCGCGUCUGAUUAGCUUGUUGGUGAGGUAAUGGCUCACCAAGGCGACGAUCAGUAGCUGGUCUGAGAGGAUGAUCAGCCACAUUGGGACUGAGACACGGCCCAAACUCCUACGGGAGGCAGCAGUGGGGAAUAUUGGACAAUGGGCGAAAGCCUGAUCCAGCCAUGCCGCGUGAGUGAUGAAGGCCUUAGGGUUGUAAAGCUCUUUCGGCGGGAAGAUGAUGACGGUACCGCAGAAGAAGCCCGGCUAACUUCGCGCCAGCAGCCGC
rnacentral:rRNA from 1 species